GAAAGACAGGUCUGUGGUUGAAAGUCGAAGCCAGUCGCAGGCAAAGCGAUCCACGUAAGCCGGCCAAAGCGCCGGUGAUCAUAGUGCGGCCUAGAAGUAAGUCCGACCGGAAAACCGAGAGAGCGUGUAGUGGGGGGAUCUUAUCCUAUGAGCGACAGCUCCAGUCGGCGGGUGUGGGGGUAAAAACCAGGUCAGCUGCCUUUC
rnacentral:ncRNA from 12 species